GUUGCCGCGAGAAUCCUGCGGAAACCGCGAUGCGAGUUUCUGGGUCAUAUGGGCUGGAUUUCAAGCCCAACCUCGCGAGAGGUGGAGCUGGAGUGCCUGAGACCUAGUUGUAGCGGUCCGAGUUCCUCUGACUUAGUGGCAGACAUCCUGUUUCCUUUUAACGACAUUGAGCUUCUACUACGUGUGUGAGGAUCACUGGUAGACACUACGGUGAUUGGAAACGACUUGCUGAUCGAACCUGGGGCCCGGCAGUGAAAGCACUGAGUCCUAAUCACUGAACCGCCAGGGAGUUCUCUAUACCUGGUUUGUAGUACUUGUUUUUCCACUUAAUUGACAGCAGUCCUUGAACAUGGUAACAUCUUUGAGCCUCGAUUUCCUUACCUGUAAAAUAGUAAUAGCAUCAACUACAUGAAACCAUUAUGAAGAUUAAAUUAGAGUAUAUUAUAAAACAUAUAAAACUGUGGCACGUGCAUUUGAUCAAAUCCAACAUGCUAUUAUUUUAUGUACUGCUAAGAAAGAAAAUAAUAAAACCAUGAUUGUAAGAUGCAGCUCAUCCAGAGGUGUUAAAAUGUAAUAAAAAGCAUUUAAAUUAUUCCUCAGUUAAUACUUACUACCAAACUGUCUACUGUUAGGUUAACAUUUCCUUCUCU